rnacentral:sRNA from 1 species
UUUCUUUGCAUCCUCGCGACUAAUGACAACCCUAACUCCGUCGUGGAGUGAAGCCUCUCAUUAGCCGCGCGAACCUCUGCAGAAGAAAAUCCCUUCAGGCAACAAUACAGUAGUUUACUGUGGAUUUCUGCCAUCUGGUUGAAAAAAGGGGCCAUAAGGCCCCCUUUU